rnacentral:rRNA from 1 species
AUUGAACGCUGGCGGCAGGCCUAACACAUGCCAGUCGAACGGUAACAGGAAGAAGCUUGCUUCUUUGCUGACGAGUGGCGGACGGGUGAGUAAUGUCUGGGAAACUGCCUGAUGGAGGGGGAUAACUACUGGAAACGGUAGCUAAUACCGCAUAACGUCGCAAGACCAAAAAGGGGGACCUUCGGGCCUCUUGCCAUCGGAUGUGCCCAGAUGGGAUUAGCUAGUAGGUGGGGUAACGGCUCACCUAGGCGACGAUCCCUAGCUGGUCUGAGAGGAUGACCAGCCACACUGGAACUGAGACACGGUCCAGACUCCUACGGGAGGCAGCAGUGGGGAAUAUUGCACAAUGGGCGCAAGCCUGAUGCAGCCAUGCCGCGUGUAUGAAGAAGGCCUUCGGGUUGUAAAGUACUUUCAGCGGGGAGGAAGGGAGUAAAGUUAAUACCUUUGCUCAUUGACGUUACCCGCAGAAGAAGCACCGGCUAACUCCGU